rnacentral:tRNA from 1 species
GGCCCUUUAGCUCAGUGGUAGAGCACGCGACUCAUAAUCGCUUGGUCGCUGGUUCGAAUCCAGCAAGGGCCA